GGGCCCGCACAAGCGGUGGAACAUGUGGUUUAAUUCGACGCAACGCGAAGAACCUUACCUGGGUUUGACAUCCCCGGCCGACACCAGAGAUGGUGUUUUCUCUUCGGAGACCGGGUGACAGGUGCUGCAUGGCUGUCGUCAGCUCGUGUCGUGAGAUGUUGGGUUAAGUCCCGCAACGAGCGCAACCCUUGCCCUCAGUUGCCAGCAGUUCGGCUGGGCACUCUGGGGGACUGCCGGUGACAAGCCGGAGGAAGGUGGGGAUGACGUCAAGUCCUCAUGGCCUUUAUAUCCAGGGCCUACACACGUGUUACAAUGGGGUCACAAAGGGCAGCGAAACGGUGACGUGGAGCGAAUCCCAAAAAAGCCCUCUCAGUUCGGAUCGCAGUCUGCAACUCGACUGCGUGAAGCUGGAAUCGCUAGUAAUCG
rnacentral:rRNA from 1 species